rnacentral:rRNA from 1 species
AACGAACGCUGGCGGCAUGCCUAACACAUGCAAGUCGAACGAGACCUUCGGGUCUAGUGGCGCACGGGUGCGUAACGCGUGGGAACCUGCCCUUAGGUUCGGAAUAACUCCCCGAAAGGGGUGCUAAUACCGGAUAAUGUCUUCGGACCAAAGAUUUAUCGCCUUUGGUUGGGCCCGCGUUGGAUUAGCUAGUUGGUAGGGUAAAAGCCUACCAAGGCGACGAUCCAUAGCUGGUCGGAGAGGAUGAUCAGCCACACUGGGACUGAGACCCGGCCCAGACUCCUACGGGAGGCAGCAGUUGGUAAUAUUGGACAAGGGGCGAAAGCCUGAUCCAGCAAUGCCGCGUGAGUGAUGAAGGCCUUAGGGUUGUAAAGCUCUUUUACCCGGGAUGAUAAUGACAGUACCGGGAGAAUAAGCUCCGGCUAACUCCGUG